UGGUCGUGUGGCCGCCGGCGGGACGGCGGCCCGGAUUGACCAGGAUCUACCCGUUCUCAUAGGCCCCGCGCGCCGUAUCCCCGGCGGUGCGCGCG
rnacentral:ncRNA from 1 species